AACGAACGCUGGCGGCAUGCCUAACACAUGCAAGUCGAACGAACCCUUCGGGGUUAGUGGCGCACGGAUGCGUAACACGUGGGAAUCUGCCCUUUGCUUCGGAAUAACAGUUAGAAAUGACUGCUAAUACCGGAUGAUGUCGUAAGACCAAAGAUUUAUCGGCAAAGGAUGAGCCCGCGUAGGAUUAGGUAGUUGGUGGGGUAAAAGGCCUACCAAGCCGACGAUCCUUAGCUGGUCUGAGAGGAUGAUCAGCCACACUGGGACUGAGACACGGCCCAGACUCCUACGGGAGGCAGCAGUGGGGAAUAUUGGACAAUGGGCGAAAGCCUGAUCCAGCAAUGCCGCGUGAGUGAUGAAGGCCUUCGGGUUGUAAAGGACUCUUUUACCUAGGGAUGAUAAUGACAGUACCUGGAGAAUAAGCUCCGGCUAACUCCGUCGCCAGCAGCCGCGGUAA
rnacentral:rRNA from 1 species